GACAAAAUCGGAAUAGUGAUUUUGGCCUAGUCCAGGGUCCAGAGUCGAGAAGUGUCCACGGCGACAGAGCCCCGCCAUGUCUCCUCGCCUCGCCGAGACGGGCACCCGCCGUCUUUCCGGGUCCCCUUGUAUCCAUUUGAAAUUGCGGGAGCGUCCGCCGUCUUUCCGGUGGAACUGCGUCGGUCGCCGGGCCGCCGGCGCUGCCCCGAGUAUUCCUCUACUCCAAGCCUGUCGCCUCCCCUCCCUCCGCCCCGGGGCAGCAUUCCGUCGAACAAAUCGUCUCUUUCACAUGUCAGUCUGUCAGACACCUUUAUUUGUUAAUCACCGGUCUACCCGAGACCAGCCUUUUCUACCCGUCAUCAAUUAACACAGUAUUCAGCAUGAGUUCCACUGGUUAGUGGUUCAGUUCAUCAUUGCAUGGCUUUAUCUUUGUGCUGGAACAGCAGCUGUUUCAUGGACCGAUAUAAUCCUCAAAUGAUUGCUUCAAAAGAGGAUCAGACACAACUCAAAGGGAUGUGGCUGGUGCCACCAUUGAUAAUACCUAAUAUCACUAUCCAAGAAUGACUUAUCAACACCUGAGCCCUGUUCAUCUGAAAAGAAGUAUUAGAGUUUGCUUUACGAUAUAUGGGGUCUUGAGGUGUCAACUAUCCCUCCAGGGAGGGUAUAUCUUUUCCAAGAAAGUGAAAGGUAAAAUUCUAAUGGUAGAAGAAUAUCUAUAACGAAAGUGUCCUUCUAAAUGGUUUCUUUAAAAGUAUAUCAACACCGGAGCUCUCUGUACAUCUGCAAAGUAGUACUUAUUAGAGUUGCUUUACGAUAUAUAGGGUCUUGAGGUGUCAACUAGAUGCCUGUAAGAUGGUAGCCGAAUUUGUGUGUAGUAACCCAAGAAACACCUCACAACCCUUAGCCUAUUAGUCAUACGUAUCACACAGAAAUCAUUUGCGUUUUCUCAAACAUUGUUGUUUCUGGUAAGAGGCUUUGUGGAGAGAUUGUUUUUUCUCUGAAAUUUUACUAGUAGAUGCAAAAAUAGAAACGUGCCCAUCUCCAUGAAAAGGCUACCACUACCCCCACAUGGUAGGCUGAGUCCAGAAUGGAGAUUAGAUUCCCUGAUCCAUGACAUGCAAUUCACAAAGGUGACAUUGAUCUGCAUCUGCAUGCCUCUUUUGUGACGAAUGCUUUCAGUUGUUCCUUUGCUGUUUCCAUCCAUGCUGUCGAUUACCAGUAGGCUCGGCGCCUGAUCACAGUAGGAGUCCCCCACACAUAGCCAAAUCAGUGGAUGGGGCCACCCACUGCCGAAAUCAGUGGAUGGUAAUUGGGCAGGUUGUUGGCUCUGCUUUUGGUAUGGAAUGCAACCUUGGAUCUCCCUGACCCAGUUCUCUGUCAGCCGUUCAUGCUGCUGUCACCAGAAACAUCUGUGCAGCUUCCUUUUACUUGGGAUCAUUUUAAAAGAUGGAAUAGUGUGUAAGGUAAGGUAUGCUGCUGAACGGUGAUAGUGCGAACUGGCCGAACACCUACAGCUCCAAGAACUCACAAGGAAAACAGGAGUCGGCCAGGGACAAUUUCACCACUUUCAGAAGCCCUGAAUUGGAAAACUCUCGUGAAGCAAAGCUUCUUGUGUAAAACCAACAUAUCUAUAGCACAAACAGUGGAGCUGGAGCCUAGCCAAACAGGGCCCUUGCUUCGACUUCUACCGAUCGGCUGCAGGGCUGUGGUAGAAACAAGAGCGAAGAUUUAUAAUUGAUUAUAUCAUCUGUUGUUUCUGAACUCUUACUGCUCGUUUGAGUCAUGACUUCAGGUAGCUAAUUUUACCUAAAUGCGUUCUUAAGUAACUGUUUGCCAUGAAAAAGGUAAAUUCUCAAAUAUAAGAAAAGGAACAAGGCUGAAGAGGGAGAAACCACCCACCUUUUACUUGAAAGUGGGUGAGGACUGAAACUGGCUAUGUGCAACCUCGCUUCCCUAGCUAGUUCAACUCCAGGAGAGUUCUCAGGUUCUCGUGAUAUGGACUGUGAACUGUUUUUUUGGGCAUUAUUUAGUAAAAAGAAUUAAGUUUAGCCAAAAGCUGGUCUGAGUUAUUUUCCUAUUUUUACUCUUGAGUUUUCAGAAAAAACAGUAGAGCUGAUAUUUCAUAUGAUCAUCGUUUUAGUUUUAGAAAAGGUUUUGUUAUCCAAAUUUUAUGCUAAUAUGCUUUUUGGAAAUAAAAUUUAUGCUAAAAUUAAGAAAAAAAAGUUGGAACUAGAUGCUACUCCCUCUGUUCUAAAAUAUAAGGUGUAUUUGUUUUUUUAAGUCAAACGUUUGCAUCUUUGACCAUGUUUUUUACAAAAAAUAUAUCAAUAUCUACAGUAUCAAAUUGGCAUCAUUAGAUCCAUCACGAAAAGUAUUUUCAUGUUUUAUUUAUUUUGUAUUGUAGAUGUUGAUAUUUUAUUUCAUAAUCUUGGUCAAACAUAAAUAAGUUUGAUUUCCACAAAAAUUGAUACACCUUAUGUUCUGGGACGGAGGAGUAUCUAGCUUCCCCAUUUCUGGCUUCAAAACUAGGCGUGCUCCGGAGUGGCGGAGUGCCCUGCGUUUGAAAGCUGGAGCCACAAAAUCAUCCAAGAUUCUUCGUCGAUAGUGAAGUGCUAUUUUGGCCCCCGCAAAAACAAAAGUUAUUUCUGCCCGUCCAAACUGUAUGUAUGGUUGGUAAAAAAUUAUUACUUGUGUAGGGGACAUUUUGGUUCCAACAUGGCAGAAAGCGAGAGAUGGCGAAAAGGCGAGCAAGAUGGAGGCCUGGGAGUGAUUUGUCGCCCGGGCCGGCCUUAGAAUUGCAGGUAAGUGGAUUCUGAUGGGCCCACAGUUCACGUGCAGCGUUUGACACAAAUUCUGACUUUGGCACGUUGGUGCUGGCGUGUCGACUGCCGAGCAUAACCCAUAACUGUAAGGGCCCAUUUGAUAUAUACCUUUAGAACGACUACGUACGAUCACACCACUUCCUAAAAAAAACCACUUUGCCGAACUUUACCGCAGCAGUCAUCACCAAGCAAAUUAAAAUGUUAGCCGUACCUGCAAUGUGUCAUUUGGCUGUGACGUUGAUCUUUCUCUUUUCUUUGUGAGAAAAACCUGCGAUCUAUUUAUCAACUAUCGUAGUAUAAAGAACACCAAAAUUAAAAAAUACAUCUAGGUCCUUAGAGCAACUUCAAUGGGGCGAUCCAUUUUGUCUGUCACCGUCCGUUUGGAUUGGUGCAGACACAAAAGUCGGCCCAACACGCCGACCCAAACAGACACGCGUCCGCAUGCCGACCCAUUCCCGGCCCAUUUUUGAGCCGGAUUUGCAUCGGCACGGACAUGCGCACGCCUACUCCUCCCCCUCGGGCCCGCUGGUUGGUGGCGGCCACAACCAUUUCCCCUCCUUUUUCCCCAAAACCCUCCCGCCCGCGCGCGCUCCCGCCCCAAACCCGCCAUGGACGACGACCUCGAUCUCAACGCCGCCGCCAGCCUCGCCUCCCUCGCCUCGUCUGGCAUGAUGACCGCCCCUCCGACAAAGGCAAGCCUCGUGCCCCGCGCAAGAUCGCUGCCGCGCCCAAGCCAAAGAAGGCGCUGACGCCCGAACAGCGAGCGAGGGAGUCGGCCAAGAGGAAAGGUCGGAGGCACGCCGCGGACGCGAGGGAUGAAGUCGUCGCGGCUGUCGCGCAGCAGGAGGUCACCAACACCUGCGACGCGGCGGCAACAAGGGAGCAUGAUGACCGGGAUGGAGAUCAUGAAGGUGGAUCUCAACACCGUGUCGCCAAGGAAAAGGUCGUGGUUCGAGAAGAUGAAGGCCGACAUGCUCAAGUUCACCGACGAGUGAUCUCGUGGCCACGAGCACCUUCCUUUUUGUAUGUCGGCUUGUGUGCUGGCAUGACCAUGGGGCCGCGAUGGCAUGGUCGAACUCAAGUCUCACCCCUUUUGUGUGCUAGCAUGUGUGCCGGCCGCUGGCGAGUGCGCCAGCAUGAACUGCGGUGCUGUUUUUUGAAGCCGGCAAUGUAUGUCGACGCUGGUAUGGUGCCGGCAUGAUCUAUGGCCGUUGGCAUGAUCUAUGACCGCGGGCCUUUUUUUUUAAAAUUGAGUGCGGACAUGAAAUGGGUCAGCGCGUUCGGCGCACUGCUGACCCAAAUGCAAAACUGGGCGGACGCCGGGCGCGCGGCCGACCCAAACGGACAAAAUGCGGACAAAUGCGCCGUCCGUUUGGGUCGGCCCAUUGGAAUUGCUCUUAGAUCACCUAGUGACGACCGCAAGCACUGGAGCGAGCCGAAGGCGCGCCGCCGUCUUCGCCCCUCCGUCAUGUUGAUCUUUUUUUAACACAGUAAAGAAAUGCUCGUACAUACACAUACACUCACCCUACGGACGCACGCAUGCACACUCUACUCCUAUGACCACCUUCGAGAGACUGAGCCGGCAUAUCAUCUUGAGAUUAAGAAGUCAUCACAGGCGCCUUUGUAGUCUAGGGCAUUCCUGCCGUCUAAGACGACCUCUUCUUCUUUCUAGCAACUGAAUGCACAUAGCCAAAACGCCUAAAAUAAAUUCAAAAAAAUAUGACCACAAAUGCCAAGUCUAGGACUUGAAUCCUAUUGGGUUGGUUUCACCAAAAAGAAUCUAACCAUCCGUUGACUAUAUGUAUAUUAUGUAAUGAUGUGUGUUCUUGCUAUCAUGUGCUACCCUGGGCAUAUGGGCGUGCCAGAUUAUAAAUAAUCUAAAUCAACAAAAGUCACCAGCAAACCGCCUUUUCAUUUUCUAUAAAAAGACCAACCGUUGCUAGAAAGAAGAAGAGGCUGCCCUAGGCCGUUGUGAUCGCUCCAGCGGUGCUCCAGUUCUCAUUCAUUGCAUCAUUUAAUGGAUCGGAGGUGUUUGUUGGAGGAUCCAUGGUUUCGUCGCCGUUUUCGCAUACUGAAACCAUUGUUUUUGCGCAUUGUGGAGGGAGUAGAGGCACACGACGACUACUUCAAACUCACAAGGGAUUGCUACGGCCAACUCUCUUUCUCGGCCAAGCAGAAGUGCAUGGCUGCUCUGAGGAUGCUUGCACUUGGUACUGCUACAGAUACCGUUGGUGAGAUGACUGAGAGCACGUGCUUGAAGACUACUGUCAAGUUUGUCUGUGCCAUGGUGGAGGUGUUUGGACCUGAGUAUCUUAGAAAACCAAAUGCGCAUGACACAGAGAAGUUGUUGGCUAUUGGAGAGGCAAGGGGGUUUCUAGAAAUGCUCAGAUCAAUUGAUUGCAUGCAUUGGCAAUGGAAGAACUGCCCCAAAGGUUUGUGCGGACUGUAUCAAGGUCACACCAGAGGGGUCACCAUCAUACUAGAAGCGGUGACAUCACAUGACUUAUGGAUUUGGCAUGCUUUUUUGGAAUGUCGGGUUCUCACAACGACAUCAACGUGCUUCAACUAUCUCCGGUGUUCAGGAGGCUUUGCAAUGGGGAAUCACCCUAUGCAACUACACCCUCAACGACCGAGAGUACAACAUGGGUUACUAUCUUGCUGAUGGUAUCUAUCCUCAGUGGGCAGCGUCUAUGAAGACCAUAUUCGAACUGUGUGGCAAUAAACAGAGCCACUUUGCAAUAAUGUAGGAAGCGGCUAGGAAGGAUGUGGAGAUGCCAUUUGGUGUGCUUCAAAUUCAGUGGGGAAUUGUGCGGAGCGCUGCAAUGAUGUGGAAAUUAGAAACUUUGUGGCAGCUAAUGACAUGUGGUGUUAUUCUGCACAAUAUGAUUGCCGAGGAUGAGGGUGAUGGCGUAGCCCAAACCCAUGAUUACGAAGCACCUCGAGAACAAGUUGAAAUCUCGGAAGAUCAAGAUGUGGCUCGGCUUAUGAACUUUAUGCAGAUGCAUUAGAAUCUUCGAGAUCAGCAGGUGCACACACAACUACUCAAUGAUCUUGUGGAGCACAUGUGGACCUGCAAUGGCAACCAAGGAGCCAAUACUUGAGUUUGGCCCUUAAAAUAAAUUUUAUGUAAAUGCUACCUAUGCUUGGUACUGAUACGUCUAUAACGUAUCUAUAAUUUUUUAUUGUUCCAUGUUGUUAUAUUAUCAUUCUGGGAUGUUUUACAAUCAUUUUAUAGCAACUUUAUAUCAUUUUUUGGGAGUAACCUAUUGACAUAGUGCCCAGUGUCAGUUGUUGUUUUUUGCUUGUUUUUUACGUCGCAGAAAAUCAAUACCAAACGGAGUCCAAACGCAGCGAAACUUUUUGGAGAUUUUUUUGGACCAGAAGACACCUGUCGGGCCUAAGGAGUACCAGAGGGGAGCUCCAAGGGGAGCAUAGCCCACGAAGGCGUGCUUGGGGGCCUAGGCGCGCCCAGGUGGGUUGUGCACACCUCGGUGGCGUCCCACACCAACUCUUUGCCCUAUAAAUUUCCAAAUAUUCUAAAAACCCAAGGGGAGUCGAUAGAUCAGAAGUUCCGCCGCCGCAAGCCUCUGUAGCCACAAAAACCAAUCUAGACCCCGUUCCAGCACCCUGCUGGAGGGGGAAAUCAUCACCGGUGGCCAUCUUCAUCAUCCCGGCGGUCACCAUGAUGAGGAGGGAGUAGUCCACUCUCAGGGCUGAGGGUCUGUACUAAUAGCUAUGUGUUUAAUCUCUCUCUCUCUCUCUCUCGUUCUUGAGAUGUUACGAUCUUGAUGUAUCGCGGGCUUUAUUAAUAUAGUUGGAUCAUAUGGUGUUUACCCCUCUAUAUCUUGUCGUGAAUUGAGUUUUC